CAGGAGAACCCCUAUCUGUUCACCUACAGAAAUAGCAACGACCAGGCCAAACAGCUGAAACCCAUAGGAAGACUUCAGGUGAGAGAAGGCACAGAGUUUAGCUGUUUGGACAAGGACCCCUCGGACACUGUCCCCACCACAGGCAGGCGGCAGCAUAGGUUGGACUCAGCAGGGGCGGCGAGGAGGGGACAUGGAGUGGUCCUGUGCGUGGAGGGCAGCUAACAAUGGCACUGUGUGCGGGUCC